AUGGAGCACAUUGACGUGGAUUCCGCUCCCAAGCGGGCGAAGCUCGCCGGCGGCGGAAACGAGGACCGCCUCAGCGCGCUCCCCGACGACGUUCUUCUCGACGUCCUUCUCAAGACCCGGAACGCCGCCGACGCCGCUCGGACCAGCAUCCUCUCCAGCCGCUGGCGCCUCCUCUGGGCCUUUCUCCCGGAGCUCCACUUUUCAGACGGCAUCGACCCUCGCCGCAUACGCCCCGCCCUCGCCGCCCAUGAAGCGCCGGACCUCCGCUGCCUAGUCGCCAUCGUCCGUGGCGCCUCCCCCAAAUCCAUGGCGGCCUGGCUCCCCGUCGCCGUGCGCCGCCUCUCCGGCGAUCUCGUCUUUCACAACACGACGAGUUGCGGGGAGUGGGGAAGAGGCGCCUUUCAGUUGCCAUGCUUCGAGAACGCCACCGCCCUCAGCCUCGACCUGGGCUUUCUUGUCCUCGCCAUGCCGGCUUCUGGUGUAUUCGUCCGGCUCACCGAUCUCUCCCUGGUUUAUGUCCAGCUAAAUCGUGUGAACCGGCUUGGUGACGCCAUCUCGUCGCCGCGGUGCCCAGCCUUGCGGAAACUCACCGUUAGCCAUGCCCGAGGUCUGCCUACAUUCAUCAUCCACUCAGAGUCUCUACUCCAACUGAAGCUGAGUAAUCUGCAUACUUUAAAGAAGCUAACUGUAGUGGCUCCUGCACUUGAAGAGCUAACUCUGAGCUCCUGCCUUGCUAGUGUUAUGGAUCCAAGCCAACUGGUUGUCAACAUUUCAGCUCCUGAGCUGUUGGUGCUCAAGUGGAAGGAUACUUACGAUCCAAGCUUUUUCGAGCUUGGCGAGAUGGCGCAUCUUCAGUGUCUGGACAUUGGCACUUUGGUUGUAUAUGGAUCUGGUAAAUUUGUGUACAGUCCCGAUAGCCGGAUACUCUUGCAGUGCUGUGAGGCCAUACACAAGCUAAACCUCAAAGUGGUCCAUCUGUCACGCAUGGUUUACAAUCAACACUUAUCGGAAGACAUGACAAGGCUCCCAGAAGUUACAUUCCUGAACCUGGUGGUAACGGCAUUGUCGCAUUCCUUUGGAGCCUGCUUAUUCAAUAUUCUCAGGAUGUGCACUAGUGUAAUAAAGCUUGCAAUUGAUAUGUCUUGCAACUAUGAAGAGGAAUGCCCAUCUGAUUGUUUUUGUGACCAUCCACCAAACUGGAAAUUCAAGGAUCUCAUACUGGAUCGCCUCCAAGAGGUAGACAUCAUCAACUCAGGAGGAACUGGACAUGAAGUUGCUUUCCUGGAGCGGUUAUUCAGCUGGGCAACGGCGCUAGAACAGAUUACAGUAACUUUCGAUGAGACAAUCACUGAAAGCAUGGCCAUGAAGGAGUUCCGCCAGAAGUUACUAAGCUUCUCCAGGCCAGAGAUAUGCAUGAGAUUCUUUGUGUACCGCGGUUCCGAGAAGGUUCUGUAUGUGCCAGAAGGCUAG
rnacentral:rRNA from 1 species